UACAACCCGUGACUCCAGAUCAAAACCCUACCCUCUCGUAUCAGCUCCGCUCGCCGACUUCACCCUUUUCACUCACAGUGAUGGCGAUUUCCAGACUCUCUCUCUCUCUCUCUCGGUCUCUGAUUUCUGUGACCUCCACGAUGGCGAUUCCCUGCUGUAACAGUGAGUCUCUCCAUCUCUCUCUCUCUCUCUCUCUCUCUGCAACAGUGAUGGCGAUUUGUUGUUGUUGAUCCGACAAACGCGAUGGUUUGACGAUAGUCUACGGAAAUUUCAAACCCUCCAUCCUCAUCUGCUUGCUGCUCUCGGCGAUUGAGACUGCCCCUCCCCCCCUUCUCUCUUGCACAAUGGCACAAGCAGCCAACCGCAACUCCCAUGGCGAUGACACGUGUGCUGAGCACCAGAGUUCGUCACGGUCUCUACCUCGAUGAGCCGAAGUUCCCUCCGCGAGCCAGACUGCGCUCAUCCAGCUAGGUCCGCCACAACGACAGUUCUAAGAUUUAGGUUUUAGGAGUUGUGGGUUUGUACGAAAAUCAUAUGAAGUAGUUCACAUUGAGCAAAAUUUUGGCAAAUCUGCAAUCAUGAUGCGAUUCUGGAAGGGCGGUCUUUGAUUUGGUUUUGCAUAAGUGAAUAACUUGAUGGAAUCAAAGAAGAAAUCCUUUUUCUUCUUCGUUAGUCCAUAAUCAGAGCUUGAAGGGAACUUCUUUUGGAGCAAGAGAAGCUAAAGGAUUGUUAGAAAUGGCAGGGAAGAAAUGCACCGAUAUGGAGAUGCUAAUGGAGGCAAAUGAAGAGGAAUUGAAUUCAAUUUGAAGCAGGGACAAUCUACACUUCAUGUGUGGAAAUUCAAGUGAGGAAAGUUUACUGCAUCAGCAAGGCAGUGCCUACCUUACCUAUUAAUAUCAAGGAUGCUGCAUGUUGUGAAGUUGAAAUUGACGAGGUUUUGCAGAUAUUCAGACAGUUCUUACUAUCUGAAGGCUUUGUGGGGAUUCAUACCCCAAAGUUGAUAGCAGGCUUUAGUGAGGGUGGCUCAGCUGUUCUUACUAUCCAAGGUGAUGGAUAUUGUGGACUGCUUGUUUGUUGCACUGUUUGACAGUUUGAAUGAAAGCUUGAAGCCUUCGAAAAACAAUAUCCAUUUGAGCCUUUAAAGUACUUGAGAAAGACCUUCCGGCUUGCUUUUGAAGAGGGGUCCAAUUGCUAAAGCUAUUGUGCAAGUGGAUAACGUGAGCUUGGGCUGUCCAACGGGUGAACCGAAUCGUCCCCGCGAACCAAACCAAGGCAACAAAGCUAUGCUCCGACAUCUUGUCGAACUUGAGGGAACAAGGGGGGAUAACCCCAAUGGGUUAAUUGUUGCAUAAUCGGUCAACUCUAAACCCCCUGUUUUUUUGUUAGUUUAUACUCUCUGUUUUUUGUUCUGGUGUAACGAGGAGGGAGUGGCGACCGCCACAAACUUGUGGUGGUCGUCAGUAUGUUGUAUAUUGCAUGUGGUGGUUGUUCAACCUUAAGUGGCGACCAUCAGUUGUGACGAUUGCCAGUGAUUGUGGCAAUUGUACUUCUUGCGAUCGUCAAUGACUUUGAUGAUCGCCAGAGUCUCUGACGACAAGUGACUCUGCUUUCUGUUUUUCUAACUUGUUUUCCCUUUCCCCCUGCCCAAUACUAGCUUAUUUUUGUUCUGAUGCAAACCAAAAUACUCAUAGAUUAACUUAGAGAGAGAGUCCCAAAAGGGAUACAAAAGAGACUAGCUCUUGAUAAUAUUUCUUCAAAAUGAUGAAAACUACUAAAUGAAGGACUCCAACACAUAUAUAUAUACAGACCCUUUAACCACUAACAGCAUCUGAAUUUCAAAUUUAUUUACCUCAAUGAAAAAAACUUGUUGGCAUACAGGUUGUUUUUUGGGUUACACUUGGAUCUUUUUUUUUCUUGGCGAUAAUACUCUUGAUCCUAGCCAAAAGAUCGCAAACUGAUGGUAUAAAUAAUUUUUUUAGUCAGUGAUACUACACUUGAUCUUAGCCAAAAAGAUCUAACAGAUACUACCCUUGAUCUUUUUUUUUAAUCUUCGAUACUACAUUUGAUCUUAGCAAAAAGAUCGAACGAAUAAUACGUUUGAUCCUUUUUUUUGAUCAUCGAUACUACACUUGACAUUAGCCAAAAGGCCGAGAACAUAUGCUGCACUUGAUCGGAGAUGCUACCCUUUAUUUCAGCCAAAAGGCCGAGAACAUAUUCUACCAUUGGAUCUUUUUUUUUUAAUCAGUGAUACUAUACUUGAUCAUAGUCAAAAAGCCGAGAACAGAUACUACACUUGAUUUUUUUUUAAUUGGCGAUACUACAUUUGAUUUUAACCAAAAGAUCGUGAAUAGUUACUACACUUUAUCCUUCUUUUCAUUGGCGAUACUACACUUUAUCUUAGCCAAAAGACCGAGGCAAUACUAGACUUGAUCUUUUUUUGGAAGGGGAAGAAUGGAGAGAGAAAUGGGCUUAGUUGCACGAAGCGGGAUCGGGUGCGGAAGCGGAAGCGGGGGCGGGAACGUGGGAAUACAGAAGCUCCGAAGUAGGUUGAGAGCGUGUACAUAUAUUAUAAAAAUAAUGUAGAAUUGAGUAUUCACUUUAAAGUACGAUCAUUUAGGAAGUAAAAAUAUGGGCCAAGCCCUCCAUAAGUAUAAGAAAUGGGCUAGUGUUACAAUAUAAUAUGAUUUUUUUUUCAAGAUUUCAUGACUUGGGCUAGAUAUAUGAGUUCAUCAAAGACCAAUUAAUAAAGCCAAGCGAUAAAUCUCUAUUUUUCUAUACAAAGAUCAUACAAAAGCUCCCAUCUUUGUAAGGAGCGAGCUUCCGUCAAGCUCCUUAGUUGAGAGUGCAAAAGCGGGCUCCCAAGGUGGGAGCGGCACCACUUUAGGAGCUCCUUGCAGUGAGGAAAUGGGUUUGGAGAGAAGUGGGGAUUUCAGAGGAGAGAGGGGAAAGUGAAAAAGAAAUGGGAGAAGAGAGAAAAAAUUUACUCCGUAUGUUAAAACUAGUGGGUCCCUUAUCUUGGGGCAAGUUUGAGAGGAGAGAAGGUGGGUCCUUUUGGCUUGCCACGUCAAUGUUUUGGAGCAUGGAUGGGUUUCAUGUUCCGUAGACUUACUGUAUUGCAUUUUAAAUUUACCAUUAAUAUGACAAGAAUUCCACAUCCUUAUCUCAUUUGUUGCAUGAACAUAAUGAACUAUUAUGUGUGCCUAAGACUAUAGCAUUCUUGCUGUCAAUUAAAAAAAGGCUUAUUAUUUUUUUUGGUAAGUAAUUGUUUUUUUUUUUUUUGUGUGGCUUUGAGAAGUCUUAUUUCAUUUUUGAAGCGUAUGAGAAAACAUCCUUGCAUACUAAUUGACACAGCUUCCUAUCAUCGGGAUUCUGAUGAACCUAGAAAUGGGUUGUGACGUAGGAUGUUGUGAAUAACACUCUCUUACUAGUUAGAAUGCUGUUAAGUGAGAGACAAUGGUUAAAUGGACUUGUAUGGGCAGGUUGGUGAGUUAUUUGGCUGAAAAUGGUAUAAGAUGAUUUUUAAGGUUUUUGCAAGGAUAGCAAAACGGUUUUGAGACUUGAGUGCUACGAUUCAUGGUAAGAAAAGUGAUGCUGGUGACUUUGAGUAGUGAUUUUUGCUGAUGAAAUAGUUGCUCUGUGGAACUGGUUUGGCUAUAGAAGUUCAUAAUAUACCGAAAUUUAUAGACCUUGGAAGCAAAAUAAAGCUUCUGAGCUUCUUAUCCGUAACAUUGGUAUUCAUUUAAUUUAAACCUGAGAAUAUUACAGAAUGUGACUAUUAUGGAAGAACAAGAAGCGAAAGAACUGCUUAUAUUAAUAAUUGAGUUGAUUAAAACGUACAUUGCAAAGCUGGGUAUAAAUAACUCUAGGAAUGAUACAACGAUGGUAAACCUAAUCAAGCCUAUUUUGUGCCCUAAAUAGAGAGAUACAGUACGAGAUGGUUAAUGGGUCCGUGCUUUAUCUGUUGAGGUAAACUUACUAAUUAUUUUGUUGAUAAUUCAUUAGGUGAAAGAAGGUGUUUUACCUAUAGUUUCCUUACUCUAGUUGGAAUGUAUUUAAACUUGUCCCUUUUUUUAAUUUUUUAUGUUGUAGUGGGUUUUAGAAAAAAGAUUCAGAAGGGGCAAGUGAAUCUUGUUGAGGGAAUAGUACGUGAAUGUGCUUGGAGUACCAUUUACGAUAAAAAUGGAAUUUUGUCGGGCAUUUCAUUGCUACUUAAAAAGGUGGUGAUGAAUACUUCCUCCAUCCCGCAAAGAUAGUCUACCACGAAAAGAUGUGCAAUUUUAAGAUAAAAAAAACAAAGUACUUAUGCGCGUAAAUUUUUUAUUUUUUAUUUUUUGUAUUUUUUUGGCAAAACGUAGAGAUUUAAUCUUUAAUUUGGUGUCAAGAAAUUUUAAAAUUAUGUAUAGAAGUACUUUGUUUUUUAUUCAAAAAUUUCACACUAUUUGCUAUGGACUAUCUUUGUGGGCUGAAGGGAGUAGUUUUUUUGCAAUGGUUUAUAAACAUUGGCAGUAAGCUGGAAUUUGUAAGCAAUUUUUGCUUUCUUUGGUCCAUACGUCAAAGAUCAUGUGAUAGUGAUACUUACCUUUGUUGUAGUGGAACAAACUCCAGGAGUCAAUCUUGAAGGGGAGUGAUGUUUGUUACAUCUGUCAUCGCAAACAAUGUGUCUGCAUAAAGGACACACUGCGAAGUCUUAGAGUAUAUCUCUCCCAUUCGCUUGCGAGGCUUCAAAUUCGUGAGUAUUCUCUUAUUAUGCAGAGCCCUGGCUGGUGGUGCUUAGAUUCUUAUGUUAAAUGCAGAGCCCUGGCUGGUGGUGCUUAGUUUUGUGCUCAUUUAGUUGACAUUUGGCUUGUUUUGUGAUUGUUGCUAUAAAAAUUGUUAAGUAUUAACUCUUUAAGGACACACUUUAUUUUUAAUAGGCCUUAGGCUAUUGGUCACUGAAAAAGUGAUUCCUAAUAGAGGGCUACUGCCUACCAAGGACGGAAUUUGUAAAAAUAUUGUUUGACAAUGUAGCUUUGAUGGGCCUAAAAUAUAUAAUGCUCUAAUUCAAAAGAAAGGCCUAAUUCAUAUGGUAAGUCGAGUAUUGAGAAA